AUCCUGUGGUGAGGAAACGCUAGGAUGUACUCUUGAAGCCUCUCCCAUGCUUCAGAUAUACACUCAUUUGACGCCUGCUGGAAACUGGAGAUUCUCCCUCGAAGAGC